UACAUGGGGUGCAAACGUUGCUCGGAAUUAUUGGGCGUAAAGCGCGCGUAGGCGGUUACUCAAGUCGGAUGUGAAAGCCCUCGGCUUAACUGAGGAAGUGCACCCGAAACUGAGUAGCUAGAGUACUAAAGAGGGUCGCGGAAUUCCCGGUGUAGAGGUGAAAUUCGUAGAUAUCGGUGGAGAACGACGGUGCGAAGGCGGCAUCCUGGACCAGUACUGACGC
rnacentral:rRNA from 1 species